CGGCAACAGCUCAAAUUUGAAAUCUGGCUCCUGCCCGAGUUGUAAUUUGCAGAGGAGGCUUUGGAGUCGCCCCGGUCCAAGUUCCUUGGAACAGGACGUCGCAGAGGGUGAGAAUCCCGUAC
rnacentral:rRNA from 1 species